rnacentral:rRNA from 1 species
GCAACGCCGCGUGGAGGAUGACGCAUUUCGGUGUGUAAACUCCUUUUAUAUAGGAAGAUAAUGACGGUACUAUAUGAAUAAGCACCGGCUAACUCCGUGCCAGCAGCCGCGGUAAUACGGAGGGUGCAAGCGUUACUCGGAAUCACUGGGCGUAAAGCGCGCGCAGGCGGGCUAAUAAGUUGGAUGUGAAAGCCUACGGCUCAACCGUAGAACUGCAUCCAAAACUGUUAGCCUAGAGUGUGGGAGAGGAAGAUGGAAUUAGUUGUGUAGGGGUAAAAUCCGUAGAGAUAACUAGGAAUACCAAAAGCGAAGGCAAUCUUCUGGAACAUUACUGACGCUGAGGCGCGAAAGCGUGGGGAGCAAACAGGAUUAGAUACCCUGGUAGUCCACGCCCUAAACGAUGAAUGUUAGUCGUCGGGUAGCUAGUCUAUUCGGUGAUGCAGCUAACGCAUUAAACAUUCCGCCUGGGGAGUACGGUCGCAAGAUUAAAACUCAAAGGAAUAGACGGGGACCCGCACAAGUGGUGGAGCAUGUGGUUUAAUUCGAAGAUACGCGAAGAACCUUACCUAGCCUUGACAUAUUUUAGAACACUUUAGAGAUAGAGUGGUGCCUUCGGGAGCUAAUAUACAGGUGCUGCACGGCUGUCGUCAGCUCGUGUCGUGAGAUGUUGGGUUAAGUCCCGCAACGAGCGCAACCCUCGUCACUAGUUACUAACGGUUCGGCCGAGGACUCUAGUGAGACUGCCUUCGCAAGGAGGAGGAAGGUGAGGACGACGUCAAGUCAUCAUGGCCCUUACGGCUAGGGCAACACACGUGCUACAAUGGCCAGGACAAUGAGAGGCGAUACCGCGAGGUGGAGCAAAUCUAUAAACCUGGUCUCAGUUCGGAUAGCAGUCUGCAACUCGACUGCUUGAAGCUGGAAUCACUAGUAAUCGUAGAUCAGCUAUGCUACGGUGAAUACGUUCCCGGGUCUUGUACACACCGCCCGUAA